UAGGGAAUAUUGGUCAAUGGGCGGAAGCCUGAACCAGCCAUGCCGCGUGCAGGAAGACGGCCUUCUGGGUUGUAAACUGCUUUUACCAGGGAACAAAUAGGCCAUGCGUGGCAAGUUGAGUGUACCUGGGGAAUAAGCACCGGCUAACUCCGUGCCAGCAGCCGCGGUAAUACGGAGGGUGCAAGCGUUGUCCGGAUUUAUUGGGUUUAAAGGGUGCGUAGGCGGUUUAUUAAGUCAGUGGUGAAAGCCUAGACACUUAAUGUCAGAAGUGCCAUUGAUACUGAAGAGCUUGAGUCGAGGAGAGGUAAGCAGAAUUUGUGGUGUAGCAGUGAAAUGCUUAGAUACCAUGAGGAAUACCAACAGCGAAAGCAGCUUACUGGCCUUGUACUGACGCUGAGGCACGAAAGCGUGGGGAGCAAACAGGAUUAGAUACCCCCGUAGUCC
rnacentral:rRNA from 1 species